rnacentral:rRNA from 1 species
UACGGGGGGGGCAAGCGUUGUUCGGAAUUACUGGGCGUAAAGGGUUUGUAGGUGGCUUGCUAAGUCAGACGUGAAAUCCCUCAGCUUAACUGGGGAACUGCGUCUGAGACUGGCAAGCUUGAGUGCAGGAGAGGAACGCGGAAUUCCAGGUGUAGCGGUGAAAUGCGUAGAUAUCUGGAGGAACACCGGUGGCGAAAGCGGGUACCUGGGCCAUUCUUGACGCUGAGGCGCGAAAGCGAGGGGAGCAAACGGG